CACGGGGGGAGCGAGCGUUGUUCGGAAUUACUGGGUGUAAAGGGCUCGUAGGCGGGGAAGAAGGUCGGAUGUGAAAACUUAUGGCUUAACCAUAAGCCUGCAUCCGAAACCACUUCUCUUGAGUAUCGGAGAGGAUAGCGGAACUCCUGGUGUAGCGGUGAAAUGCGUAGAUAUCAGGAGGAACGCCGGUGGCGAAGGCGGCUAUCUGGCCGAAUACUGACGCUCAGGAGCGAAGGCCGGGGGAGCAAACAGG
rnacentral:rRNA from 1 species